rnacentral:rRNA from 1 species
UGGGGAAUUUUGCGCAAUGGGCGAAAGCCUGACGCAGCAACGCCGCGUGGGUGAUGAAGGUCUUCGGAUCGUAAAACCCUGUCGUCGGGGACGAAGGUAGCUUAGUUAACAGCUGAGUUGCUUGACGGUACCCGGAGAGGAAGCCCCGGCUAACUCUGUGCCAGCAGCCGCGGUAAUACAGAGGGGGCAAGCGUUAUUCGGAAUUAUUGGGCGUAAAGGGCGCGUAGGCGGUUUUUUAAGUCAGAUGUGUAAUCCCCGAGCUCAACUUGGGAACUGCAGCUGAGACUGGAAGGCUAGAGUACUGGAGAGGGUGGUAGAAUUCCACGUGUAGCGGUGAAAUGCGUAGAGAUGUGGAGGAAUACCAGUGGCGAAGGCGGCCACCUGGACAGUAACUGACGCUGAGGCGCGAAAGUGUGGGUAGCAAACA